AUGUGUCCCCAUGUCGCCCAGUGUCCCCUAGUGUCUGUGUCCCCAUGUAUUCCAGUGUCAUCACUAGGGGUCACUGUGAGACAUGGGGACACU